GGGAUUGUAGCUCAGGGGUAGAGCGCCUGCCUCACACACAGGAGGCCCUGAGUUCGAUCCUCAGCACCCA
rfam:Ictidomys tridecemlineatus contig058413, whole genome shotgun sequence.